rnacentral:rRNA from 1 species
UGAACGCUGGCGGCAGGCUUAACACAUGCAAGUCGAGCGGUAACAGAGAUAGCUUGCUAUCUGCUGACGAGCGGCGGACGGGUGAGUAAUGCUUGGGAAUAUGCCUUUAGGUGGGGGACAACAGUUGGAAACGACUGCUAAUACCGCAUAAUGUCUACGGACCAAAGAGGGGGACCUUCGGGCCUCUUGCCUUUAGAUUAGCCCAAGUGAGAUUAGCUAGAUGGUAAGGUAAUGGCUUACCAUGGCGACGAUCUCUAGCUGGUUUGAGAGGAUGAUCAGCCACACUGGGACUGAGACACGGCCCAGACUCCUACGGGAGGCAGCAGUGGGGAAUAUUGCACAAUGGGCGCAAGCCUGAUGCAGCCAUGCCGCGUGUGUGAAGAAGGCCUUCGGGUUGUAAAGCACUUUCAGUUGUGAGGAAAGGGAUGUAGUUAAUAGCUGCAUUCUGUGACGUUAGCAACAGAAGAAGGACCGGCUAACUCC